ACGAUGUAUAUUAUGUUUUUAUAUUUUGACAAGGAAAUGAAAGCUUAGAGAGAAAGGGUACUUGUUUUCUAGGGCACUUUUGUGGUCAUCACAUGCAUGUCUGCUUUUCUUCUUCACUGUUCCUUUGAAGGUAUCUGAUAAAGGGAGUGGGCCAAACAAUGGAUGUAAUGAAGAAGAAAAUUAAAUAUUGUUAUUGAAUAUCUUUGAGUCAUACUUUUAGUAUUGAACAUUUGUAUUGAACAUCUAUAUUGAACAUAUGUAAUGAACCUCUUUCUUUUUAAUUUUUAUGUAUGAACAAUUAGUUGUAUGAAUGAUAUUAGGUUGAACA
rnacentral:sRNA from 1 species